AAAAAUUUAGUUAAUAUCUAUAACCUUAGUUUGUCAAACUAAAAUAAUAAUAAAACUUAUAAUUUUUA
rnacentral:tRNA from 1 species